rnacentral:lncRNA from 1 species
AUGGGUGGGGAUGCACCCGUAGGGCUGUACGCACACACGCGGAUUGCACACAUGGGGGAGGUGCAGGCAUGGAGAUGCACAAGGCUGCACGAGUGGGGCUGCACGAGUGGGGCUGCACGCGUGAGCUUGCACGCGCGGAACGGGUGCAGAGAGAUGCACCUGGUGAUGCACGCUGCACGCACGCAGGGAUGCAGGCGUGAAAAUGCACGCGGAGAUGCACCCGUGGGGUUGCACGCACACACGGGGGUGCACACACGCACCCUUCCGUUCCAAGGCCACCGAAGCUCACAGACCAAACCCAGCCCCCCCUCCCCCCAACCCCGCAAUGCCGGCGCGCCCCACGCACGACCCCCCGGCCCCCCCCAGCCCCAUUCCCAUCAGCAGCCCGGCCCGCAGCCGCCUCCCCCCCCCACCCCCCCCGCGCUAACCCAGUUUCUCAAGCGUGAAAACGACCGCAGCAGCUGCCCGGCACCUCCCGUGCAGCACCGGCUCCAGCUGCGGGCUCAGCACCACGGCAGCAAUAUAGCAACACCCCCCCCAACACACACACACACCCAGAUGCUGUGCAUCCACCAAAACAACGCGCGGAUUCGUUCCGAGAGCCCCCGCGGGGGUCACCCCGCAUCCCUGCCGUGCCCUUCAGAGCCAGGCCCAACNNNNNNNNNNNNNNNNNNNNNNNNNNNNNNNNNNNNNNNNNNGGGCCGUACCUUCAGGGCAGCGCAGGACCCUCAGCACGCCGCUUCUCCCGUCGGCCGGUUGCCAUCCCCGCGCCCCGCAUCCCUCCCCUGCGCAGCACCGCGUUGCUACAGCGACCGCCUCCCGCCGCAACCGGCUGCAGCCGAGCGCUCAGGGUGUGCGGGAGCCGCCUGCGGCCUCGCGGGAGGAGGAGGAGGAGGAGGAGGAGGAAGAGGAGGAGGAGGAUGCGACGCCUGCAGCCCGGCUGUGCAGCGGCUGCCUCCCGCUCAAAGCGCUGCUCUGCUGGGGUGGGGUCGCAGGGGGCGGCCCUGGGUGCGGGGUACCCCGUGGGGACCCCUGGGUGGUGGGAACCCACUGCGUCCAGGGACCCCUGAGUGA